GCACAAGCGGUGGAUGAUGUGGAUUAAUUCGAUGCAACGCGAAAAACCUUACCUACCCUUGACAUGUCCAGAAUCCUGCAGAGAUGCGGGAGUGCCCGAAAGGGAAUUGGAACACAGGUGCUGCAUGGCUGUCGUCAGCUCGUGUCGUGAGAUGUUGGGUUAAGUCCCGCAACGAGCGCAACCCUUAUCAUUAGUUGCUACGCAAGGGCACUCUAAUGAGACUGCCGGUGACAAACCGGAGGAAGGUGGGGAUGACGUCAAGUCCUCAUGGCCCUUAUGGGUAGGGCUUCACACGUCAUACAAUGGUCGGUACAGAGGGUUGCCAAGCCGCGAGGUGGAGCCAAUCCCAGAAAGCCGAUCGUAGUCCGGAUUGUUCUCUGCAACUCGAGAGCAUGAAGUCGGAAUCGCUAGUAAUCGCGGAUCAGCAUGUCGCGGUGAAUACGUUCCCGGGUCUUGUACACACCG
rnacentral:rRNA from 1 species